UUCCUACGGGGCGCAGCAGUGGGGAAUAUUGCACAAUGGGGGAAACCCUGAUGCAGCGACGCCGCGUGAGUGAAGAAGUAUUUCGGUAUGUAAAGCUCUAUCAGCGGGGAAGAAAAUGACGGUACCUGACUAAGAAGCCCCGGCUAACUACGUGCCAGCAGCCGCGGUAAUACGUAGGGGGCAAGCGUUAUCCGGAUUUACUGGGUGUAAAGGGAGCGUAGACGGCCAGACAAGUCAGAAGUGAAAACCCGCGGCUCAACUGCGGGAGUGCUUUUGAAACUGUUUGGCUGGAGUGCAGGAGAGGG
rnacentral:rRNA from 1 species